UACGAAGGGGGCUAGCGUUGCUCGGAAUCACUGGGCGUAAAGCGCACGUAGGCGGCUUUUUAAGUCAGGGGUGAAAUCCUGGAGCUCAACUCCAGAACUGCCUUUGAUACUGAGAAGCUUGAGUCCGGGAGAGGUGAGUGGAACUGCGAGUGUAGAGGUGAAAUUCGUAGAUAUUCGCAAGAACACCAGUGGCGAAGGCGGCUCACUGGCCCGGUACUGACGCUGAGGUGCGAAAGCGCGGGGAGCAAACAGG
rnacentral:rRNA from 1 species